rnacentral:rRNA from 1 species
UACGUAGGGGGCGAGCGUUGUCCGGAUUCAUUGGGCGUAAAGCGCGGGCAGGCGGCCCGCUCAGUCGGCCGUGAAAGCGCCGGGCUCAACUCGGCGCGGUCGGGCGAUACUGGCGGGCUGGAGGCUGGUAGAGGGCGGUGGAAUCCGGGUGUAGUGGUGGAAUGCGUAGAGCUCCGGAGGAACACCAGUGGCGAAGGCGGCCGCC